CUUGACGACCAUAGAACAUUGGAACCACCUGAUCCCAUCCCGAACUCAGCAGUGAAACGAUGUAUCGCCG
rnacentral:rRNA from 1 species